rnacentral:rRNA from 1 species
AGCGAACGCUGGCGGCAGGCCUAACACAUGCAAGUCGAACGAAGUCUUCGGACUUAGUGGCGGACGGGUGAGUAACACGUGGGAACGUACCUUUUGGUUCGGAACAACUCAGGGAAACUUGAGCUAAUACCGGAUGAGCCCUUAGGGGGAAAGAUUUAUCGCCGAAAGAGCGGCCCGCGUUAUAUUAGCUAGUUGGUGAGGUAAGGGCUCACCAAGGCUACGAUCUAUAGCUGGUCUGAGAGGAUGAUCAGCCAAACUGGGACUGAGACACGGCCCAGACUACUACGGGAGGCAGCAGUGGGGAAUCUUGCGCAAUGGGCGAAAGCCUGACGCAGCCAUGCCGCGUGAAUGAUGAAGGUCUUAUGAUUGUAAAAUUCUUUUACCAGGGACGAUAAUGACGGUACCUGGAGAAAAAGCCCCGGCUAACUUCGUGCCAGCCGCCGCGGUAAAAC